UACGCAGUUUGUACCUAACAAAAUUGCUCUGCCCUACGGUCAUUACAAAACCCUUCCCACUGCGUUCCCCACACAACCCUUCCCACCGCGUUCCUCAGUCCACACCAAUGCCUCCUCUAAAGUUCAUCGCUCCCGCCGCGUGGCUUGUUCCCUGAGCGGGAUUGAUAAGUAUCGUUGCGCCGCUCUCCUUGGGCAGGUCAUCAUCUCCAGCAUCGCGUUCCCUGAGCAGGUCAGCGUCUCCAUAGCCGCAUGCUUCCCUUCGAUUUAGCCCUGAGCCUCCAUCAUCUACUGCUCUGUCUCAGGUUGUAGAUAAAGUAGACAUAGCGGAGGUCAUCAGAGGGGUGUACAUCGGACAUUAAGGUUAUUAUCAUAACUGGUUGUUUUAAGUCUCCGAAUCAUAGUACAAUUUUAUUUUGGCAUGUACAUAUUAAAUAGAGUGGAUUAUGAAGGUUAUGUAAAUUAAAUAAUGUAAUUAUGUAUGCAUAAAGAAAAAGAGUUAAGCGUUUGCAUGAGAUGAUAUCCAUGGAAAAAUAAGUGGUGAUGUUAUGAAAUGUGUGCUAAAUUAAAGAAUAGUAAAAUAUUAAAUGACAGUUGAUGGUAUAAUUAUAAGUGUGAUUUUCAUAUGUAUUAUAGGUUAAAAUGCUAAUGAAACAGAGAAAACUCUGCCAAAAUUUUGGUUUAAAAUCUCACAUUUACUUUAAUCACUGUAUGAAAUUUACUUGAACUAUUUAAUAACUUAGUAAUUACAUAUAAAGAAAAUUGUUUAAUUUUGAUAUAUCUAAAAAGAUAUAGUUUGUGAUGGUUCUUGCUCUGUCUACUCUUUGAUAGGGUAAGGAGCGUAACAAUUAGUGGUAUCAAAGUAAAGGUUUAGGCGAUUCAAGGUGAUAGUAUAUAUAUGUAUAUGUGUAGUAUAUGUACAUGCCAAAAUGAGUUACAACUAUGAUGUGGUUCUGAUGCAGAUAUCUUCUUUGUGUCUUUAUGUUUGAUAGAAGAUGUCAUCUAAGUCACAAAGAGCAGUAAAUGAAGAGGUAGAUAGUCAUGCUCCCUCUGAGGCAGCUGCACCUGCUGCUGCUCCUCCACCUGCUGCUGCUGCUGGCGAACUAGGGCAUGAUGCAUUAUUUCAGCAAAUAGCUGAGUUGCUUAGGAGGGUUACACAAAAAUGUGUCAAAAGUACCACCACCACCACCUAUAGUAGUCCUUGUUCCCCUACCUGGUGUAGCCCAGGCACAAUCUAAGCCUCCAAUAGAAAAACUCAGAAAGUAUGGUGCUAUAGAGUUUAGAGGUAAAAAGGAAAAUGAUUCUUUAGCUGCAGAAUUCUGGUUAGAAAGUACAGAAAGGGUUUUACAGCAGCUACAGUCAAAUAGUUGAGUUGCUUAGGAGGGUUAUACAAAAUGUACCAGAGGUAUCACCACCACCUGUUGUAGUCUAGGUUCCCUCAUCUGUUGUAGCCCAGACACAAUCUAGGCCUCCAAUUGAAAAAUUUAGAAAGUAUGGUGCUAUAGAGUUUGGAGGUAAAAAGGAAGAUGAUCCUGCAGCUGCAGAAUUCUGGUUAGAAAGUACAGAAAGGGUUUUACAGUAAUAGUGUUUACCAGUAGAAAGUUUAAUGUGUACAAUAUCACUACUAAAAGAUGAAGCUUAUAGAUGGUGGACAACAUUAAUACAGACAGAUCGACCAAAGCAAUAAACUUGGAAAUUCUUUUUGACAGAGUUUAAGAAGAAAUACGUUGGGGCGUUAUAUAUGGAGGAGAGAAGGAGGGAGUUCUUAUAUCUCAGACAAUGCAGGCUUACAAUAACUGAGUAUGAGCGAGAAUUCUGCAGAUUUAGUAAGUGUGCUACAAAGAUAGUUCCUACAGAGGAAUAAAAAUGUACACGUUUUGAGCAAGGAUUACAUGUUGAUAUCAGGAUGUACUUCACAGCUAUGCACAUUAGGGAACUUUCAGUUUUAGUGGAGACGGUCCACAGUUUGGAGCGAAUUAAAGAAGAAGAGCAAAGUAGAAAGCAGAAAGGGCAGCGGAAGAGAGGCCAAAGCCAGUAUCAGGGACAAUCCUCUGCAUCUCAGACAACUAGCAAGAGACAGAGGGAUUUUCAGCAGAUAGGGCAAAGAGGGCCACCUAGGCAGAGUCAAAGACCUGGGCAUAGUUCAGUAAUGAGGCCUAGACAGUAGGUUACCUCGGUAUCUAGUACAAGAAGACCGGGUAGAGAAUUGCCACCAGUAUGUGAGCAUUGUGGCAGGAGACAUGGCAGAGCAUGCAGGAGAUUAACUGGGGAUUGCUACUUAUGUGAAAGCACAGAUCACUUUAUGAGUGAUUGUCCUAGAGGCCGGUCAGUGUUGUCUAUGCAGACAGAGAGAUCUAUGCCGACAGAGCCUAGAGGCAGGGGUAGAGGUGAAUCUAGUAAUGUUCAGAAUCAUUGAGUAUCAGAGAUAGUAGACAGACCAGACACUAGAGCACUUGCCAGGACAUAUACUAUUCGUGCAAAGGAAGACCAAGACAAACUAGAUGUUAUAACUAGUAAAUUUUUCCAUCUUUAGUAAAUAUGUUAAUGCAUUAAUUGAUUUUGAUUCUACACAUUCAUACAUCUACAUAUCCAUCACUAAUGAGAAGGGAAUUCAGGUAGAACCUUUAGAACAUGAUAUAGCAAUGACCAAUCCCUUAGAACAUCUUGGAUUUGCACACAUAUAGGAGAAUCUUUGUAAACUCUAUUGACAAUCACAAGAUGUCUUAAGAGAUUGGUCACUACUAUGUCAUGUUCUAAAGAUUCUACCUGAAUUCCCUUCUCAUCAAUGAUGGGUAUGCUGAUGUAUGAAUGUGUAGAACCAGGAUCAAUUAAUGCAUAAACAUAAUUACCAAAGAUGGAAAAUUUAUCAGUUAUAACAUCUAGUUUGUCCUGGUCUUCCAUUGCAUGAAUAACAUAUGCCCUGGCAGGUGCUCUAGUGUCUGGUCUGUCUACUAUCUCUGAUACUCAGUAACUCUAAACAUUACUAUAUUCACCUCUACCCCUGCCCCUAGGCCCUGUCGGCAUAGAUCUAUCUGUCUGCAUAGACAAUAAUGACCGGCCUCUAGGACAAUCCCUCAUAAAGUGAUCUGUGCUUUCACAUAAGUAGCAAUCCCCAGUUAAUCUCCUGCAUGCUCCGCCAUGUCUCCUGCCACAAUGCUCACAUACUGGUGGCAAUUCUCUACUUGGUCCUCUUGUACUAGAUAUUGAGAUAAUUUGCUGUCCAGGCCUCAUUACUGAACUUUGCCCAGGUCUUUGACUCUGCCUAGGUGGCCCUCUUUGCCCUUUCUGCUAAAAAUCCCUCUGUCUCUUGCUAGUUGUCUGAGAUGCAGAGGAUUGUCCCUGAUACUGGCUUUGGCCCUUCUUCUACUGCCUUUCUGCUUUCUACUUUGCUCUUCUUCUUUAAUUCGCUCCAAACUGUGGGCUGUCUCCACUAAAACUGAAAGUUCCUAAUGUGCAUAGCUGUGAGGUACAUCCUGAUAUCAGCAUGUAAUCCUUGCUCGAAACGUGUACAUUUUUCUUCCUCUGUAGGAACUAUCUCUGUAGCACACUUACUAAGUCUGCAGAAUUCUCGCUCAUACUCAGUUAUUGUAAGCCUGUACUGUCUGAGAUAUAAGAACUCCCUCCUUCUCUCCUCUAUAUAUAAGGCCCCAACGUAUUUCUUCUUAAACUCUGUCAAAAAGAAUUUCCAAGUUUGCUGCUCUGGUCGAACUGUCUGUAUUAAUGUUGUCUACCUCUAUAGGUUUCAUCUUUUAGUAGUGAUAUUGCACACAUUAAACUUUCUACUGGUAAACACUAUAACUGCUGUAAAACCCUUUCUGUACUUUCUAACCAGAAUUCUGCAGCUGCAGGAUCAUCUUCCUUUUUACCUCUAAACUCUAUAGCACCAUACUUUCUAAAUUUUUCAAUUGGAGGCUUAGAUUGUGUCUGGGAUACAACAGAUGGGCGAACCUAGACUACAACAGGUGGUGGUGGUACCUCUGGAACAUUUUGUAUAACCCUUCUAAGCAACUCAACUAUUUGACUGUAGCUGCUGUAAAACCCUUUCUGUACUUUCUAACCAGAAUUUUGCAGCUAAAGAAUCAUUUUCCUUUUUAUCUCUAAACUCUGUGGCACCAUACUUCCUGAGUUUUUCUAUUGGAGGCCUAGAUUGUGCCUGGGCUACACCAGGUAGGGGAACAAGGACUGCUAUAGGUGGUGGUGGUGGUACCUUUGGCACAUUUUUGUGUAACCCUCUUAAGCAACUCAGCUAUUUGCUGAAAUAAUGCAUCCUGUCCUGGUUCGCCAGCAGCAGCAGGUGGAGGAGCAGCAGCAGGUGCAGCUGCCUCAGAGGGAGCAUGACUCUCUACCUCUUCAUCUACUGCUCUUUGUGACUUAGAUGACAUCUUCUAUCAGACAUAAAGACACAAAGAAGAUAUCUGCAUCAGAACCACAUCAUAACUGUAACUCAUUUUGACAUGUACAUAUAUUACACAUAUACAUAUAUAUACUAUCACCUAGAAUCGCCUAAACCUUUAUUUUGAUACCACUAAUUGUUACGCUCCUUACCCUAUCAAAGUGUAGACAGAGCAAGAACCGUCACAAACUAUAUCUUUUUAGAUAUAUCAAAACUAAACAAUUUCCUUUAUAUGUAAUUACUAAGUUAUUAGGUAGUUCAAGUAAAUUUCAUAAAGUGAUUAAAGUAAAUGUGAGAUUUUAAACCAAAAUUUUGGCAGAGUUUUCUCUGUUUCAUUAGCAUUUUAACCUAUAAUACAUAUGAAAAUCACACUUAUAAUUAUACCAUCAA